GGUUAUGGUGGAGCUCUGGGAGUUGAUCUGUAUCUGAGUGUGGAUGUUGUGGGUACAGGGGUUCUGUAGCACCUGAUCUACUCCAGUGCAGUUGUGAACCAGAAGUUUUGCAGGUGGAUAGGUCUUGCUUCUAAUGGGCCCCAUGGGGGGUCCCAGUUAGGCCUGGUAUUGUGACAGGGGUGAGGGAGGUUGUCUCACCUGUGAGCCUGAUUGUGACGAAUCUCCUGGGAGUUAAACUGUCUCUGAGUGUGAGAGGGGUUCUGGAGCUCUAGCUCUGCCCCAGCUGGAACUUCAACAUUUUAAAAUCAUGUGUGUUAUGGUUUGUAGAUGCUCUGUCCAGAAGUGGCAUUAUUAGAAGGUGUGGCCUUUUUGCAGUAGGUGUGCCACCAUGGGUGUGGGCUUCAAGAUCCUCAUCCUAGCUGUCUGGAAGUCAGCAUCCUGCUAGCAGCCUCUAGAUGAAGAUGUAGAACUCUCAGCUCUUCCUGCACCAUGCCUGCCUGGAUGCUGCCAUGUUCCCACCUUGAUGAUAAUGGACUGAACCUCUGAACCUGUAUGCUAGCCCCAAUUAAGUGUUGUCCUUAUAAGAGUUGCCUUGGUCAUGGUGUCUGUUCACAGCAGUAAAACCCUAACUAAGACAUGUUACUUUAAAAGAACAAAAAACAAAAAACAAACAAACAAAACUCACUAUAUACUGUUUUUUAAAAAGUUUAGAUUUUUAUUCAAUGAAAUGUCAAUAGAUUUUGGGUUGAAUCAUGAUUUUUGUUUCAUGUUUUAAAUUGCAUUGUAAUUAUAUGCCCAUGCUUUAUUUAUUCUUUGAUAAUUUCUUGUAUGUGUACAAUAAUUAGUCAUUUUUACUUCCAUUUCUCCUUCUUGUCUCUUUUUCUCUCCCACCUAAAUUUUGUUAUUCCCCAAAAUGCCCCUUACUUUGAUGUUGAGUGUGUUUGGUGGAGGAAGUUGGGGGACUGGAAUCCAUCUCCCUUUGAGUGUGGUUGCAUAUUUGACCAUAGGCCCUCAGGGAGAGCCACGGCCUCAUGAACCUGGAGCUCCAUGCAUGUUAGAAUGUCCACUAGCCCAUUCCUGUGUUGGUAACCACAGCUGCAAUAAGUUCACGGUACAAACAUCACAUCAUGUCCAGAAGUCACAGCUUCUCAGUAACCGUCCCUACUCUCUGGCUUGUGGCUUCUUUCUGUGGCAAUGCCCCAAGUGUUGGACAUCAUGGUGCAGUUAUCCUAUUUAGAGCCAAGCACUCAACAGUUGUUUAUUCUCAGCACUUCCCAGCUGUGAAUCUCUGUAUUAACCAUCACAUACCAUAAAAGACGCUUCUCUGAUGAAGGCUGAGAGUCAUGCUAGUAAAUGUGUAUAAACAUAAAUAUUUAGAAGGCAGUUUGACAAUAUAUAAAUUUAGUAAAACAACAUUAGUAGGUCCUCCCUCCUCCCAGGACCUGGGCUUUUGACCAGGUUACAGUACUAGCAAUGAAUUCCCUCUUCAGAAGUGAGGCUCAAGUCCAAUCAUAAGGCUGUUGGUUAUUCCCAUAAUAGGGAUGCCAUUGUGGCACCAGUAGACAUAUCUUGGUAGACUGGUUGUUAUUUUAGUCCACCAUGGUCCAGGAGCACCAGAGGCAGGACAGAGAUGACAUGCUAACCCUUCGAAAUGGCUCAGGAAAGGGUGCAUGUAUGAGAACUGCUCAUGUAAAGAGCUCAUGGCACACAAUAGACUCCAGGGCCAGGGAGAGGCUGAUAACUUGCUUUGUCUCUUAGGCUGUGCUCUGGGAAGCCUACUAGCAGAGAAGUAGGAAUGGUUUCUCCCCUUCUGUUAUGGAGUAUGGUGCAUUCUUGAGCAACAUGGAGUCUUACAGCAAAUUUUUUCAACCCCAACAUGAAGCACAGUUUGUGAACUGUAGUCUUACAUUGUAAGAAAUUUACAUUGUCAAACCGUUUGUGUAGAGAUGUGAGUCUAUCGGAGAAAAGCCAGUGGGAGAAGAGCCAGUGACUCACCUGGGCAGCCCUUGUUCACCCAACCUAGGACCUCAGCUGAGAUGUAGACACUCCAAACAAAUGGUAUCUAAGCAAACACAGUAUUCAAGUGGCACCAAACCAGAAAGCCCACUUCCUUUUCACCUUGUUCUACUCCAGUUGGAUUCUGCAAGGUUUUUUCUCAGUGCACAACAAAGAUGUAAUGCAGAAACUAAACAUAUUUAUCACUAAUCUUGCUUACUGGGCAGCUAAUUAGUGGGAGCAAGACAUAAUGUUUUGAAAUCUGGCUCUGGGAUCAAACAAGCAUUUGCAAAGGAAUCUCUAACCACCUGCCUCCUUUACCAUGGCCACAUAAUAAGAUGUCUAGCAGGCUUGUGAGGCCAGUGAAGCCUCCAUCUCAGCAGCUCCACUCAUUAGUAGGAGAGAUACAGAGUCAUUUCCAGGCACAAGGGUUCCCUGCAUGUCCUGGCUUAAGAACAGUGAGGGGCAGCAAGGUACAAUUACAACUAAAGGAGACCUGGAGGAAGAACAUAAGGAGGGUUUUAAGGUCUUGAGGAGUGACACAGCUAAAUACUGAGCAAAUUCUGCCUAGGAUAUCAAUACUCUUUCUAGCAUGCAGUAUUGAUAAUUAUUAUUUCUGAUUAUGCACUCAUCUGCAUGGUGCUGAAGGACACUGGAAGGAGCUGGUCUUUAGGUUUUGACAUUUUGUUGAAUAUGCAACUCUAAUUUUAAUUUUUAAAAACACGUGUAUUAAAAUACUUUUUAUCUU
rnacentral:lncRNA from 1 species